rnacentral:rRNA from 1 species
ACGGCCACACCUAGGCGAAAACACCAGUUCCCGUCCGAUCACUGCAGUUAAGCGUCUGAGGGUCUCGUUAGUACUAUGGUUGGAGACAACAAGGGAAUCCGGGAUGCUGUAGGCU